rnacentral:misc_RNA from 1 species
GAUGAAGAAUGUAGCGAAAUGCGAUAAGUAAUGUGAAUUGCAGAAUUCAGUGAAUCAUCGAAUCUUUGAACGCACCUUGCACCCUUUGGCAUUCCGAAGGGUAUGCUCGUUUGAGUGUCAUUGUACUCUCACUCUCCCGAUGCUUUUGGAUCGGGAGUGGUGGACUUGGGUGUUGCUGCUUUGCUGUGGCUCGCCUCAAAUGGAGUAGUGCAACUCUUGGUUGGACAUAGUACGGCGUGAUAAGUGUCUUCGCCGGCGCCUCAUUAUAGAGGGUGGCCGAUCGGGAGCUCUGUGCUUCAAACCGUCUUCGGACAACAUCUGACAACUUGACCUCAAAUCGAGUAGGACUACCCGCUGAACUUAAGCAUAUCAAUAAGCGGAGGA